AGAGUUGAUCAUGGCUCAGGAUGAACGCUAGCUACAGGCUUAACACAUGCAAGUCGAGGGGAAACGAUAUUGGAAAGCUUGCUUUCCGAUAGGCGUCGACCGGCGCACGGGUGAGUAACGCGUAUCCAACCUGCCCACCACUUGGGGAUAACCUUGCGAAAGUAAGACUAAUACCCAAUGAUAUCUCUAGAAGACAUCUGAAAGAGAUUAAAGAUUUAUCGGUGAUGGAUGGGGAUGCGUCUGAUUAGCUUGUUGGCGGGGUAACGGCCCACCAAGGCGACGAUCAGUAGGGGUUCUGAGAGGAAGGUCCCCCACAUUGGAACUGAGACACGGUCCAAACUCCUACGGGAGGCAGCA
rnacentral:rRNA from 1 species